CCACCCCCACCCCGCCCCCCCACCUGUGCUCUAACUACAAAGCUGCAAGACACUGCUUCACCUCUCUUUCUCUUUCUACAGCUGCCUACCUCUGAGAGUAAAUUUCAGUGUAGAUUCUAUUCUAUUCCACUCUUUCACUCAAGUCAGCAGUUUAUUUUAGCGCUCCUCGUAAAAAGGUAUAGGGUCGGCAGUUUAGUGAGGGAGGAGCCGGGUGUCGUUGACAAUGACUUUUUGUAGAUAUUCUGUAUUUAGUCCUCCUACAUGUUCAGAGGCCUUUUUUAAAAAAGAAAUAGUGUACGUGUUUUGUUUGUUUUUAGUGUAGUUUACAUGUAAUACAAGUCAACCUGGGAUGUAAUGAAUUGUACAUGGAAAAAAAAAACCCAUGUGUGACUACUGAAUGAGCUGUUUACAAAGGAUCUUUACAAUGCAUCCUACUUAGAAUCAUGAUUAUAUGUGACAAGCUCAAUUAUGUGCCUAUAUGCUUUGAGUGAAGUGCAUUAUGUGGAGGGAUCUCCCAUUUUAAGUGCUUUUGACAUUACUUUUUAAUCAUUUCAGGAGGGGGUAAACAGGAGCCCUCCGGAGCUUAGUAUCCAGAAGGCUACGAGCUUGGGAGCUUUUUUUCUCGUAGACUCCUGUAUUUGAUCUGUUUCAUAUCAUAAGGUUUUUAAAAAGCCACAAACUCUUGAGCCUCACAGGUUCAUACUUAGUCGCUGGUUUUAAGCAGAAACGACAGUGAUAGCACCAAUGAAGUGAGAGAUGGGGCAGUAUCUUCCAGUUGCCCCCAACUAUCAUCCUUUUUUUUUUUUUUUCCAAAUACCAGACCUGCUUCAGAUUGUAAUUGUAAAACGCUUUUUAGUGUCUGUUUUUUAAUCUGGUUGUUGGAUCUGAUAGGUGGGGUUUGCUGCAUCAGGAUAUAAAAAAAAAAAGCUUGACUUUCAAGGUACUUUUUGACAUUCAUGUCCCCGUGUGGCGAAAUCUCACCCAUCUGGUUUUAUAACAAGGUUUUAGAACAAUCACUGAGUUGUUUUUUGCAAAUACUAUUUGACAGCGGUCUGAUGCACACACAGACAUGCCCUCUAAAAUCACCUUACUGCCUCGCUGUUCCCCCCUCUCCCCUCUCCCCCUGUGGUUUUUAGUGGUAAAGUGACUUUUUGCAUCUCACAGUGUAAUCUUUCUGUGUCGUGAAUAUAAACACAUACCAGUUGCAUCCUUUGUAGAGUUAUGUGGUUUGCGAAAUGUCUUGUUUGCCAUGUUUGAGACCGUAUUUUCUAGAGGAGUAUUUUAAUUUUUGCCUUUUUUGUUUUUUUUUGUUUUGUUUUUUUUUUUAGGAAAAGACAAAAGAAAAGUUAAAAAAACCGGCAUGCUUUUUAUUGAGAAUAUGUAUACUAUAAGCAUUAUUAUAAUAAAGAAUGUUUGGCUGACUACUAUGGUAAAAGAAAGCAAAGGGUUUGGACAUUUCCCUCUUCUUCUUGUUUAUGUUCUUCUCCACUAUCUGUUUCUCUUGUGUAAAAUGGCCACCAGACCCAUUUGACUGGGGACCCAGGGGGAGACAGGUGUAGAUGCUGCCCCAGCUUUGCUCUCUUUGGUCAGGGUAAGUGCGGGUUGGUGCUCCUUUCUCUCUCCAGCUUCUCAAACUGUGUGCAAACUUCUGCUGCAAGGCCCCCCCCCCACACUGAAAACCUCUAACAAGGUGUUUGCACUUCAUAAAAUGCAUUUCAGUAUUUAAUUCCGGCAAGAAUGGCUUGGUAUGGUCCUUUUUUUUUUUUAUUUAAAAUUGAUUUUCAUGCAGGAAGGACAUUAUAUACACUGUGAAAUUACAUUGAGAGCUGGGGAGAGGCACACAGAUAGAAUGGCCUGGGUGCAUUUUGAUCUGUGGAGCAGUCCUGUUCCUGGGGUUAAUGGGUGUGCGUCUGGUCUGGUCUCUCCCUGCUGCACCAAAUUCUCCCCCCUCCGUGUGUCUCUUGUGUCCACUCUACUCUCAGACCUGCAUGUGUGAUAAUCUGUGACUCUCUGACGCAAAAAAAAAAAAAAAAAAAAUAGCCCGCGACAGUCCAGCUCUGAACUAACUAUCUCAACUGAAUUAGGUCACCGUGCCACCUGGAACGGCCAGCACGCAGCCGUGCGUGAGCGUGGCGGCGUGAGCCAUGGGGAUGACUUUUAGCGCGACGCCAACCGCAGUGGGAACUUGUUCUCUCUCUCUUCACCACCAAGAGGCCUGGGCGUGCCAAUGGACAGUGUAUGUGUGGUGGCCCGCCGCCGGACUCCGUAACAUGACACAGAGAGACUUAAAUGUUGGACGAGUCGCUUUGCUAAAACUGUUGAAUGCUGGGGUUUGCUUCACAUGGCUGUGGGAAGGAUCUUAACUCCUGUUUCCCAACACUAUUUAGCUCCAUUACAUCUAAGAUGAUAAACCAACCUCCUAACUGUGGAGGUGAACAAUUCUCUCAUCUCUGGGUCCCUCACAGCCUGUGUGCCAAUCAGAAACAUCCUAUAAGAUAGGCCUAGGUAUGAGGCCAGUCUGACCUGUAGAUUCUCAUCAAUCUCAGGGUUCCUAUAGGACUUUUCUGGUACGGCGGCUCUAUUUCUCUAAUACUGGGAUCAGCUGGACUUGGCUGGAUAUGUGCUCUGAGUGCCAUGUAUGUGUUAUUACCUGCUACGAUUGUCCCUGUGCUGAGAGAGAAAGCUUAACCCCACACACACACAUACACAUACACAUACACAUACACAUACACAUACACAAACUCACAGUCACAGGCAUCGAGUAUGCAGAGUCAAAUGAGUUGUCCGCCAUUUGCUCUGACAGCUGCGAGAUGGAGUCGAGACAAAGAGGCUGCGGCCUUCUGUCUGCCCUAACAAGCAAAGGGAAGGGAAGACGGAGGAGGAGGAGAAGGAGGAGAGGAAUGAA